rfam:Geomicrobium sp. JCM 19038 DNA, contig: JCM19038.contig00030.
UGAUGGCGUGCCUUUUGUAGAAUGAACCGGCGAGUGACGUGUACGUGCAAGGUUAAGUUGAAGAGACGGAGCCGCAGCGAAAGCGAGUCUGAAUAGGGCGAAAUAGUACGUGAACGUCGACCCGAAACCGUGUGAUCUACCCAUGUCCAGGGUGAAGGUCGGGUAACACCGACUGGAGGCCCGAACCCACGUAGGUUGAAAGCUGCGGGGAUGAGGUGUGGGUAGGGGUGAAAUGCCAAUCGAACACGGAGAUAGCUGGUUCUCCCCGAAAUAGCUUUAGGGCUAGCCUCGGUUUUGAGAAUCCUGGAGGUAGAGCACUGAUUGGAUGAGGGUCCCUACCGGAUUACCGAGUUCAGUCAAACUCCGAAUGCCAGUGAUUUAUGACCGGGAGUCAGACGGCGAGUGCUAAGAUCCGUCGUCAAGAGGGAAACAGCCCAGAUCACCAGCUAAGGUCCCAAAGUGUGUGUUAAGUGGGAAAGGAUGUGGCGUUGCUUAGACAACCAGGAUGUUGGCUUAGAAGCAGCCACCAUUGAAAGAGUGCGUAAUAGCUCACUGGUCGAGUGACGCUGCGCCGAAAAUGUACCGGGGCUAAACACACCACCGAAGCUGUGGCAACUCUUAGGAGUUGGGUAGGGGAGCGUUCUGUAGGCAGAGAAGGUUGACCGUGAGGACAGCUGGAGCGUACAGAAGUGAGAAUGCCGGUAUGAGUAGCGAAAAGAAGGGUGAGAAUCCCUUCCGUCGAAAAUCUAAGGUUUCCUGAGGAAGGCUCGUCCGCUCAGGGUUAGUCGGGUCCUAAGCUGAGGCCGAAAGGCGUAGGCGAUGGCAAACUGGUUGAAAUUCCAGUACCACCUUGUCUCUGUUUGAACAAUGGGGGGACGCAGAAAGGUAGGGAGAGCGUACAAUUGGAUGUGCGUCGAAGCGUACGAGGCCGUUGGAUAGGCAAAUCCGUCCAACACAUAAGGCUGAGUCGUGACCGCGAAAGGCAUAGCGCCCUUGAGUCCCUGAUCCUCCGCUGCCGAGAAAAGCCUCUAGUGAGGAGACAGGUGCCCGUACCGCAAACCGACACAGGUAGAUGGGAUGAGAAUUCUAAGACGCGCGGGAGAACUCUCGUUAAGGAACUCGGCAAAAUGACCCCGUAACUUCGGGAGAAGGGGUGCUCCUUGGGGUGAAUAGCCCUGGGGAGCCGCAGUGAAAAGGCCCAAGCGACUGUUUAUCAAAAACACAGGUCUCUGCGAAGUCGUAAGACGAAGUAUAGGGGCUGACACCUGCCCGGUGCUGGAAGGUUAAGAGGAGGACUUAGCUUCGGCGAAGGUUCGAAUUGAAGCCCCAGUAAACGGCGGCCGUAACUAUAACGGUCCUAAGGUAGCGAAAUUCCUUGUCGGGUAAGUUCCGACCCGCACGAAAGGUGCAACGACUUGGGCACUGUCUCAACGAGAGACCCGGUGAAAUUAUAGUACCUGUGAAGAUGCAGGUUACCCGCGACAGGACGGAAAGACCCCAUGGAGCUUUACUGCAGCUUGAUAUUGGGUUUGGGCACAGCUUGUACAGGAUAGGUAGGAGCCUUGGAAACCGGAGCGCUAGCUUCGGUGGAGGCGCUGGUGGGAUACUACCCUUGCUGUGUUGAAAUCCUAACCUCGAACCGUGAUCCGGUUCAGGAACAGUGUCUGGUGGGCAGUUUGACUGGGGCGGUCGCCUCCUAAAGAGUAACGGAGGCGCCCAAAGGUUCCCUCAGAAUGGUUGGAAAUCAUUCGAAGAGUGCAAAGGCAGAAGGGAGCUUGACUGCGAGACUUACAAGUCGAGCAGGGACGAAAGUCGGGCUUAGUGAUCCGGCGGCACCGUAUGGAAGGGCCGUCGCUCAACGGAUAAAAGCUACCCUGGGGAUAACAGGCUAAUCUCCCCCAAGAGUCCACAUCGACGGGAGGUUUGGCACCUCGAUGUCGGCUCGUCGCAUCCUGGGGCUGAAGUAGGUCCCAAGGGUUGGGCUGUUCGCCCAUUAAAGCGGCACGCGAGCUGGGUUCAGAACGUCGUGAGACAGUUCGGUCCCUAUCCGUCGUGGGCGUUGGAAAUUUGAGAGGAGCUGUCCUUAGUACGAGAGGACCGGGAUGGACACACCGCUGGUGUACCAGUUGUUCCGCCAGGAGCAUCGCUGGGUAGCUACGUGUGGCAGGGAUAAGUGCUGAAAGCAUCUAAGCAUGAAGCCCCCCUCGAGAUGAGAUUUCCCAUCAUGUAAAUGAGUAAGACCCCUGAGAGACGAUCAGGUAGAUAGGUCUGGUGUGGAAGUGUGGCGACACAUGGAGCUGACAGAUACUAAUCGGUCGAGGAUUUAUCCAC